CCUACGGGUGGCAGCAGUGGGGAAUAUUGGACAAUGGGCGAAAGCCUGAUCCAGCCAUGCCGCGUGUGUGAAGAAGGCCUUCGGGUUGUAAAGCACUUUCAGUGGGGAAGAAAGCCUUGGGGCUAAUACCCUCGAGGAAGGACAUCACCCACAGAAGAAGCACCGGCUAACUCCGUGUCAGCAGCCGCGGUAAUACGGAGGGUGCGAGCGUUAAUCGGAAUUACUGGGCGUAAAGCGCGCGUAGGCGGUCUGAUAAGCCGGUUGUGAAAGCCCCGGGCUCAACCUGGGAACGGCAUCCGGAACUGUCAGGCUAGAGUGCAGGAGAGGAAGGUAGAAUUCCCGGUGUAGCGGUGAAAUGCGUAGAGAUCGGGAGGAAUACCAGUGGCGAAGGCGGCCUUCUGGACUGACACUGACGCUGAGGUGCGAAAGCGUGGGUAGCAAACAGGAUUAGAUACCCUUGUAGUC
rnacentral:rRNA from 1 species